AAUUUUAAGGAUCAGCCUCUUCAUACCAACACUGCCGGCGUAGGAGCUUGUGCGACUGCAAGACCUGAAGGUAUCCAGCUACAAGAACAGAAUGUAAAUAUGCUUUGCAAGGAUUCCCCCUUUGAUAAAAUGCUAGCCAUCUUCCAGUCUUCUAAUUAUAAGUUACUCAGGAAUGAAGAUGUUCUCACUCUAAACUACUCCCUGGACGCU